AUUCAGCCUGCAUCGCUCAGACUGAAACGCACUGUGCUAAUGAGGAAGAGAGCUGAAUGCCACGAAAUCCCCGCUGUACUGGUUCUAAAAACAGCUGGAUGCCCUGAAAGAUGAAGGUGGACACGGGAGGCAAACAGCCAGAAGGCUUCACCCACAGAUGACAGAUCUUUUCUAGCAUCGAAGAGGACUGAGCUUUUCCAGGGUCCCAUUCUAGCCUCUGGACCUGAGUCUUGGCAGCACUGACUGGUUACCUGCAAGCCACACAGUCAUCCCUUAACCUAUCACUGAAGUCAAAGAGAUGUGAUCUCCCGAUUGAUUGGCUUGGCCAGGUCACAUGCUCACCUCUGAGGUUGAAGUGAGAGAGAUUCCUGCAACAUUUCUGGAAGCCCCAGUGAGAUCUCCUUCUCCAUGGCCCCAUGGUAGAGACGGGCUGCUGCUCCCUGGUCUCUGAGAACACUAAAGUCUUCUGGAACUGAGAAGCACAAGGGGACUGCGGGACCAAGACCUGGAGUCUCUGGGAAACAUACAUCCUAAACAGGACUUCAGGGUCCUCUCCCAGUGGACAAGGGGACUGCGGGACCAAGACCUGGAGUCUCUGGGAAGCACACAUCCUAAACAGGACUUCAGGGUCCUCUCCCAGUGGACAAGGGGACUGCGGGACCAAGACCUGGAGUCUCUGGGAAGCACACAUCCUAAACAGGACUUCGGGGUCCUCUCCCAGUGGACAAGGGGACUGUGGGACCAAGACCUGGAGUCUCUGAGCGGAAGACCAGAUGAGACUGGGCUGGAUGUCCAGGCCAGGUAAAGACAAAAAAGGGAGAUAGGCAGGAAGAGCCAGCAAUGGCUAGAUCGCCUUGCAGGAUAUUAUAUCUGGAGCCUUGAAGGGAUACUCAGGUAGCACCGGUCCCCAAGGAAAAGGCCUUGAUGAGAUACUCAGGUGGAUUAGUCUUGGAAGAAAUAGACAGACUAAGCAUUUAAAAGGGGGAUGUAUAACUUCUAAGUGAAUGGUGAAUGACUGUGUAGGUGACUGUAAUGCUCCCGCAGCUCCGUGGCUACAGAAUUUGAUUGGGCCUCAACCUCAGAUCGGCUGAAGCCCUUUCAAAUGAACAGGCACUCCCACUCACAAUAGGAGGUGACCAAGUACAAGGUUAUACAUGUGGCUCUAAGGAAAGACCUCUGAAAUUGCCACAUGGUGUCUGGCCAGGCAGAUGCCUGCUUGAGGGAGAAGCUGGUCUCCACCUCACCCUAUUACUACACAGGGUUAGGCACACAUAAACUCCCCCAGUUUCCAGAUAGGGAAUUUUUCUCACCAUGGGAUUUGUAAAAUCCUGAUGUGAAACUCACACAAUCCUGCAAAGACCUUUGUGAUGGUUUGUAUAUCCUUGGACCAGGGAGUGGCACCAUCUGAAGGUGUGGCCUUGUUGGAAUAGGUGUGACCUGGUUGGAAUGGGUGUGUCACUGUGGGUGUGGGUAUAAGAUCCUCACCCUAGUUGCCUGGAAGUCAGUCUUCCACUAGCAGCCUUUGGAUGAAAACAUAGAACUCUCAGCUCCUCCUGCGCCAUGCCUGCCUGGAUGCUGCCAUGCUCCCACCUUGAUGAUAAUGGACUGAACCUCUGAACCUGUAAGCCAGCCCCAAUUAAAUGUUGUUUUUUAUAAGA
rnacentral:lncRNA from 1 species